CAGCCGCCGCGGGAAAACGGAGGGUGCGAGCGUUAAUCGGAUUUACUGGGCGUAAAGCGUGCGUAGGCGGCUUCUUAAGUCGGAUGUGAAAUCCCUGAGCUUAACUUAGGAAUUGCAUUCGAUACUGGGAAGCUAGAGUAUGGGAGAGGAUGGUAGAAUUCCAGGUGUAGCGGUGAAAUGCGUAGAGACCUGGAGGAAUACCGAUGGCGAAGGCAGCCAUCUGGCCUAAUACUGACGCUCAUGCACGAAAGCGUGGGGAGCAAACAGGAUUAGAUACCCCAGUAGUCCCUGUCUCUUAUAC
rnacentral:rRNA from 1 species